CUGAAGCAUUUGAAAUGGUUUGUUGCUGCCUUGAAAAAGGAUUUUGCACCCAUUCAAUCUUCUAUUUAACCACCUGUGCACUUUUCGUAGACUGCGAGUAAUCUCUCACUGAAAAAUGUGGAUUUGAGAGCUAGUGCAAGCUUGCUUUCUAUCAUUUGCAGUCUAUGUUUUUAUUUUAAUACGCUAUUGAAAUAUAAAUGAAUGUUGAUUAUGGGUUGUAUAACCUAUAUAAUUAAAUA
rnacentral:misc_RNA from 1 species